CCACACAGGCCAGCGCUCAGUAACACUAGACUUAUUAUCACAUCAGUGAGACGAGAAAUUUGGUCCCAAUGUCUGAAGAAGCAAAGAAAUUACAGGCGAUCUAUGAGGAGCGGGAGAGCUGGUGUAUGGUGGAGAGACACCCCACACAGUACUGGUGCAGAGCCGAGAGAAAACAUUUCCCCCACCAUUUGCGAAGUGUCCUGAAUGAUCAGCCGCCGCCAUGCUAUGAAUCAAGAUGCUCCUGGGCUGUUGUAACCCCUAGACACAGGGAGAAAAGGCACUUUGCUGAUGCUGGCAAGGGACAUUUGGUGUGACUGGUAUUUGAAGCAAAAGGCGCCUGUGAGAGUUUGGAGAAAUGUGCACUGCCAUCAACAUCUGUGAUAUCCUCCUUGGAGAUCUUCCCAUUCUCAUCACUUGGCUCUCAGCUAAUUCCCCUUUUAUUUUCGCUCAUGCACAAUAAAGCCGAUUUGUGUCC